GACGAACGCUGGCGGCGUGCCUAAUACAUGCAAGUAGAACGCACAGUUUAUACCGUAGCUUGCUACACCAUAAACUUUGAGUUGCGAACGGGUGAGUAACGCGUAGGUAACCUGCCUGGUAGCGGGGGAUAACUAUUGGAAACGAUAGCUAAUACCGCAUAAUAUUUAUUAUUGCAUGAUAAUUGAUUGAAAAAUUCUAUUGCAUCACUACCAACUUGACCUUCGUUGUAUUAGCUAGUAGGUGAGGUAACGGCUCACCUAGGCGACGAUACAUAGCCGACCUGAGAGGGUGAUCGGCCACACUGGGACUGAGACACGGCCCAGACUCCUACGGGAGGCAGCAGUAGGGAAUCUUCGGCAAUGGACGAAAGUCUGACCGAGCAACGCCGCGUGAGGGAAGAAGGGUGUCGGAUCGUAAAGCUCUGUUGUAAGAGAAGAACGGGUGUGAGAGUGGAAAGUUCACACUGUGACGGUAUCUUACCAGAAAGGGACGGCUAACUACGUG
rnacentral:rRNA from 1 species